GACAGAGGUUGCAAACGUUGUUCGGAAUCACUGGGCAUAAAGCGCACGUAGGCGGUCUGUUAAGUCAGGUGUGAAAGCCCCCGGCUCAACCGGGGAACAGCAUUCGAUACUGGCAGACUCGAGGAUGGUAGGGGUGAGUGGAACUCCAGGUGGAGCGGUGAAAUGCGUAGAUAUCUGGAGGAACACCGGUGGCGAAAGCGGCUCACUGGACCAUUACUGACGCUGAGGUGCGAAAGCUAGGGUAGCAAAC
rnacentral:rRNA from 1 species